rnacentral:rRNA from 1 species
CCAAAGCGUAGCUUAAUCAAAGCAUCUGGCCUACGCCCAGAAGAUUUCACAUACUCGUGACCACUUUGAGCUAAAGCUAGCCCAAAAAACAACCAAUCAAACUACUACUAAUUAAUAAAUCAAAACAUUCACUUACACAAUAAAGUAUAGGAGAUAGAAAUUUUAUACGGAGCAAUAGAGAAAGUACCGCAAGGGAAAGAUGAAAGAUAUUUUAAAGCAAUAAACAGCAAAGAUUUACCCUUUUACCUUUUGCAUAAUGAAUUAACUAGAAUAAACUUAACAAAGAGAACUUAAGCUAAGUCCCCCGAAACCAGACGAGCUACCUAUGAACAAUCUAUCGGGAUCAACUCAUCUGUGUCGCAAAACAGUGAGAAGAUUUAUAGGUAGAGGUGAAAAGCCUAACGAGCCUGGUGAUAGCUGGUUGCCCAGAAUAGAAUUUCAGUUCGAUUUUAAAUUUACCUCAAACACCCCAGAAAUUUCAAUGUAAAUUUAAGAUAUAAUCUAAAAAGGUACAGCUUUUUAGAUUGAAGGAUACAGCCUUUUUU